AUGGGGACGCCCCUAAGAUGGCGGGGCAGCCCCGCCUCAGGGGCGGGAGAGCGGGCGGGGACUCGCGGAGAGGAACAGCGAGGGAAUGUCGGUCCUUGUGUCCCCUUUGCAGGUUGUCUAAAAAAGGAAAAUCUGUUGUUUAAUAUGAAGAAAAGCAGAGGUCGGACAGGUCGAAAGAGAAGGAGAAAGCACUCAAAGAGUUUUAUGGAUGGAGUCAACUGCAGUCACAAGCUGGAAUACAUUAAACUUAAGAAGUGGCUAAAAGAGAGAGGAUUUGAAGACAGUAAUUUAAGGCCAGCAGAGUUCUGGGAGACAGGCAGAGGAUUGAUGACAACAAAAGCUCUUCAGGCAGGAGAUGUGAUUAUUUCAUUGCCUGAGAAGUGUUUGCUCACCACGGGCACUGUCCUCAGCAGCUGCUUGGGAGGACACAUUGAGAAGUGGAAGCCCCCUGUGUCUCCUUUGCUGGCACUGUGCACGUUUCUGAUAGCAGAGAAACACGCUGGGGAGAAAUCUCCAUGGAAGCCCUACCUGGAUGUCCUACCCAAGGCUUACACCUGCCCUGCUUGUCUGGAACCUGAUGUCAUCAAUCUUCUCCCAAAACCCUUAAAAAGGAAGGCUCAGGAGCAAAAAAGGAUGGUCCAAGAGCUGUUCAGAUCUUCCAAAGCUUUCUUCUCUUCCCUGCAGCCUUUAUUUGCUGAGAGCACAGGAAGUAUUUUUAAUUUCAGUGCUUUGCAGUGGGCUUGGUGCACUGUAAACACCAGGACAAUCUACAUGAAACAUCCCCACAGGGAGUGUUUCUCCCUGGAGCCAGAUGUUUAUGCACUGGCACCAUAUUUAGAUUUGCUAAACCACAGCCCAAAUGUUCAGGUCAAGGCUGGGUUCAAUGAGCAGACAAGGAGCUAUGAAAUUUGGACAAAUUCACAUUGCAGAAAAUACCAGGAAGUUUUGAUCUGCUAUGGACCUCAUGAUAAUCAGAGGCUGCUGCUGGAAUAUGGAUUUGUUGCCAUGGACAACCCUCACAGCAGUGUUCAUGUCUCAGCAGAUACUCUCCUCAAAUAUUUCUCACCACUGGACAAGCAGAGAAAGGCCAAAGUUUCCAUUCUAAAGGAUCAUGAUUUCCUGGAAAUUAUUUGUUUUUUAGCAAACUCACUGCUUGGGAGAGAUGGAGAGGUUCUAAACAGCAGUGUCAAAGCUGGAGAUCUUCCAUGGCUGAUGUGUCUCAGGAAGAAAACUCAUUCUAAGCUCACCUGAACUUCAUCUCUCCCUUGGGCUCUGCAGGAACCUGACCUUUGGCUGGGAGGGACCAUCCUGGAGACUCCUGACAGCCCUCAAGGUGCUGGGGCUGGCAGCAGAGGAAUUGUGAGUUGGAGCAGCCUCAGGGUUUGUUUGGGGGCUGUGCAGGAGCUUCUGCUUGGAUUGCCUGGAAUCACCAGGGUGGGAAGAGCCCCCCAGGAUCACCCAGUGCCACCCCAGCCCCACCAGCAGCACCCAAACCCUGUCCCCAAGGGCACAUCCAGACUGCUCUGGGACAAUGCCAGGGACUCCAAACCUCCCUGGGCAGCUCCUGCCAAGGCCUGACCACUCUGCCAGGGACAUUUUCUGUCCCAGUCUCCAACCUGAGCCUGCCCUGGUGCCAUCUGAGGCCAUUUCCUCUCCUCCUUUCCCUGCCCCUCCUGGCAGGAGCUGUGCAGAGCAGGGAGGUCCCCCCUGAGCCUCCUUUGCUCCAGGCUCAGCCCCCCCAGCUCGCUCAGCUGCUCCCCCCAGGAUUUGUUUUCCAGCCCCUUCAAUAUUUUCUGUUUCCCCUCACUCUUUGUUCUCUACUGGCUGUGAGUGACACACUGGGACAAUUUUUGGAUCUCCUGUGUCUGAUUUGUUGACCCCAGGUGAGAAGUGAAAAGAAGAAAGGCAAAGAACACCAGUGACUGUAAACUCCCUCUCCUUUGGUGAUUUUCUUUCCUGUAUUAUUUUCCCUUUCUAUUUCAAGCUCCAGAUAUUCCCUCAAGGUUCAGGCUCCUUUCAGGCUGUUUUCCUGUUGGUUUGAUGAAAUUUUAAAUGCUCUUAACCUGGUUUGAUUUCCUUGAGUCAUGUGUUCCACAGGCUGGAAUUCCAGGGCCAAGGAAGUUGCUGUAAUUCAUCUCCAGGGACUCUCAGUGCACUUGGAGCAUUUACUCCAAAUGGCAAAUCUGCCUCAAAUAUCAGGGAUGGAAAAUGAUUACCUGCACUUUGCUUGAAAUAAAUGAAAUGAGGGAAUAAAUUAAUGAGAAAAGGCUUGUUCAGAGUUGUUUGUGCUUUGAAGAUUCAUUGCUGAGUGGAAUAAAUUGAUCUGAGAACUAAAAAUAAAUCCCUGGGCUGGGUUAGGAGCCCAGGUGAGGGCCAGGGCAGCAGAGCCACGUUUGGCAUCCAGCUGGGGAGGGCAGCAAAUAAUUCUGUGUUCUUGAAACAUUUUGGUUCCAGUGCCUGCUGGAGGAGGAUCCUGCUUGGUGAUGUCCCUUCAGCCAGGAAUGAGCAGCAGGCUUUGGCUACAGCAGCAAAAAUUUGUCAGUGUUUAAUAGAGGAGACCCAGCAUGUCCUUCUCCAGAUUUCCCAGUUGAAAAGGG